ensembl:misc_RNA Y_RNA Y RNA
GGCUAAUCAUAGUGCCAUGGUGUUUACAACUAAUUGAUUGUAACUAGUUACAGAUUUGUUUCUUCUCCACUCCCACUGCUUCACUUGACUAGUCUUAA